UACGUAGGGACCAAGCGUUGUUCGGAUUUACUGGGCGUAAAGGGCGCGUAGGCGGCAAAUUAAGUCAUCUGUGAAAUCUCCGAGCUUAACUCGGAACAGUCAGGUGAUACUGAUCUGCUAGAGUGCGGAAGGGGCAAUCGGAAUUCUUGGUGUAGCGGUGAAAUGCGUAGAUAUCGAGAGGAACACCUGAGGUGAAGGCGGGUUGCUGGGCCGACACUGGCGCUGAAAGCGCGAAAGCCAGGGGAGCAAACGGG
rnacentral:rRNA from 1 species